CUAGACCACCGUUUGGGGAAGCGGAGAGGACCCAGGAGCUCCAGCGUGGGGUCCGCAGAGUAGGCGUGGCCCAUGGUGCCCGGCUGGGCCCCUGACAGGUGUGGGACCCGUCUCCUGCAGAAGGUUCCUUGGUUAGCAACUGAGCAGACGCCCUGCCAUCUACAGCGAUGAGGGAACCGGCCAGGGGCUGCGGCUGGAGCUCUCAUUGCCGGGCAGGAAGAGGGCAGCGUGUGCCUAAGGCAGGGCCCGCGGAGGAAGGUUCCAGAGAAAGGCCU